rnacentral:rRNA from 1 species
AAGGAGCCGCCAGUCCUACCAUGCAGUCGAACGGCAGGCCAGGGGAGCUUGCUCCCUGGGUGGCGAGUGACGGACGGGUGAGGAAUACAUCGGAAUCUACUCUGUCGUGGGGGAUAACGUAGGGAAACUUACGCUAAUACCGCAUACGACCUACGGGUGAAAGCAGGGGACCUUCGGGCCUUGCGCGAUUGAAUGAGCCGAUGUCGGAUUAGCUAGUUGGCGGGGUAAAGGCCCACCAAGGCGACGAUCCGUAGCUGGUCUGAGAGGAUGAUCAGCCACACUGGAACUGAGACACGGUCCAGACUCCUACGGGAGGCAGCAGUGGGGAAUAUUGGACAAUGGGCGCAAGCCUGAUCCAGCCAUACCGCGUGGGUGAAGAAGGCCUUCGGGUUGUAAAGCCCUUUUGUUGGGAAAGAAAUCCAGCUGGCUAAUACCCGGUUGGGAUGACGGUACCCAAAGAAUAAGCACCGGCUAACUUCGUGCCAGCAGCGGCCGGUAAUAAG